AAAAAUAAAAUUAAUAUAAUAAAAUAAAAAUUCAAUUCUUAUAACCUUUUAUGACAAUAAACCAAAGCAAUAAACAAAACAACACAUUACACAACGAUGGACGCUGGAUAAACAAAUCCGCCAUUUUGAUGCUCUGUGUUGCCGUCAUCAGUGAAUUUUUAAUUUCUCGCAUUAGGUCCCGAUUUUUUUUUACUCUAGCCUCACUUGAAAUAGCCCUUGAAGGUAUGUCGUUGAUUUGACGUAUAGAGUCGACACCCCCUGUUUAGCAACAUGUGUUGUUUUAGUCCACUUCAUUUUUGUAGUUUUAAGUAUAAUAUAUAUAAUAAAUAAAUACAAUCGAAUU